rnacentral:lncRNA from 13 species
AAAGGGCUGCUGUGAUGAAUGGAACUGCUUCGGGUAGUCAAGACAAAGGAUUUCCAGCUAUGGACAUUUGUGGUGAUUAAUCUUCGAUCUGAUGUCCAGAAUUGCUCGUCGGUCAUUGGAAAUAAUACUAGAAACUUUCUGAUCAAAUAUAGUACAAAAUAACCUGGUCUGGUUCGAGGUGUGCUGAUCCGAUUGGUAGUGUGCUGACCUGGUUCGAGGUGUGCUGAUCUGAUUGGUAGUGUNNNNNNNNNNAACCCAGCCUGCUCUCCUCCUACCAACACAACCCAGCCUGCUCUCCUCCACCCUACACAACCCAGCCUGCUCUCCUCCUCCCUACACAACCCAGCCUGCUCUCCUCCUCCCUACACAACCCAGCCUGCUCUCCUCCUCCCUACACAACCCAGCCUGCUCUCCUCCUCUCUGCUUCUGCUCUACAUCAUCGCCCUCCUCUCACACAAAACACACAUGGAUUUGUGCUGCAGAGUCAGAGUGUGUGUGUGUGUGUGUUCGGGGGAAGGACAGUGUGUGUGUGUAUGUGUUGAGGGGAAGGGCAGUGUGUGUGUGUGUGUGUGUGUUAGAUAACCGAGGAAAAUCCGCAGUCACGGCACCACGAGCUUGAGCUUCCUGUUAACAGCUCAUAAACGCCACCUGAGGGCAGCCAGUCGGUGAUGAAUAGACACGUCUCUUCUCUACAGUAUCUUACUGGUAAAUACACUAUAAAACAACAGUUAUCUUCUUCUGUCUAAAAGCCCAUCAGGUAUAACAAGGGUAGUGUAACAGGGGUGGUUCAGUCUUCUUCUGUCUAAAAGCCCAUCAGGUAUAACAGGGGUAGUGUAACAGGGGUGGUUCAGUCUUCUUAUGUCUAAAAGCCCAUCAGGUGUAACAGGGGUAGUGUAACAGGGGUGGUUCAGUCUUCUUAUGUCUAAAAGCCCAUCAGGUGUAACAGGGGUACUGUAACAGGGGUAGUGUAACAGGGGUAGUGUAACAGGGCUAGUGUAACAGGGGUGGUUCAGCGAACCACAUUCACUGGAUUUGUAGGUUAAUCUUGCCCGAAACCUGAAUAAUUGUGUUAGCUCCCCUAGUUGUUGCCUAGGCUUUAGCUCAGCGGGUUAGGUCUACUGUGAUUUAGCACUUCAUCCAAUUAUUGUUUUGUCCAAAUGAAUAAAUAAAAACAAAGAGGGAGAUGAAUGAGGCAGCGUUUACUGACUAACUAAUUCUCUCUCUCUUCCUCUUCUCCCUCUAACAGUUUUUCCC